rnacentral:sRNA from 1 species
CGUCAUUUUAUCUCAAUUAUAACUAUCAACAACGGAUCUCUUGGCUCUCACAUCGAUGAAGAACGCAGCGAACCGCGAUAUUUUUUGUGACUUGCAGAUGUGAAUCAUCAAUCUUUGAACGCACAUUGCGCGGUAUGGCAUUCCGUACCGCACGGAUGGAGGAGCGUGUUCCCUCUGGGAUCGCAUUGCUUUCUUGAAAUGGAUUUUUUUAAACUCUCAAUUAUUACGUCAUUUCACCUCCUUCAUCCGAGAUUACCCGCUGAACUUAAGCAUAUCAAUAAGCGGAGGAAAAGAAACCAACAGGGAUUGCCUCAGUAACGGCGAGUGAAGCGGCAAAAGCUCAAAUUUGAAACCCUCGGGAUUGUAAUUUGAAGAUUUGGCAUUGGAGAAAGCUAACCCAAGUUGCUUGGAAUAGUACGUCAUAGAGGGUGACAACCCCGUCUGGCUAACCGUUCUCCAUGUAUUGCCUUAUCAAAGAGUCGAGUUGUUUGGGAAUGCAGCUCAAAGUGGGUGGUAAACUCCAUCUAAAGCUAAAUACUGGUGAGAGACCGAUAGCGAACAAGUACUGUGAAGGAAAGGUGAAAAGAACUUUGAAAAGAGAGUGAAAUAGUAUGUGAAAUUGUUGAUAGGGAAGGAAAUGAGUGGAGAGUGGCCGAGGUUUCAGCCGCCCCUCGUGGGCGGUGUACUGCCGACGCCGAGUCAUCGAUAGCGAGACGAGGGUUACAAAUGGGAGCGCCUUCGGGCGUUCUCCCCUAACCCUCCACACUGCCACCGACGACAU